UCUUUUCUUCCAUAUCUUUGUGUGUGUCUGUUUAUCUUAAUGGUUGACAUUGGAGUUGGUGUUCUUUAUAAUCAGGUUUUCAUGGUGAAACGGAGAUGGUAGAAGACAAAGUCUCAUCACUGGUUAGUAAAACUGAAACCCUCCUGUUUCAGAGGCAUCAUCAAAACAGAGGAUCUUCUUCAAGCUCUGUUUUAGACUCAGCAAGGCAAGUCCCAACUGGGCCUGACCCUCUUCACCACAACGGCUUCCCUUCAAGACCAUGACAGCUCUCAUGACGCUUUUUAAGAUAUCUGUUAAUUUAUAAUGAAACUAAUGUGGGUUUUGCAUUAACUUAUCAAAUGUGGGUUCUCAAGAGUUUUCCAUUUCUGUGUCUUUUUAUCUUUUCUUCUCCUUGUACAAAUGAGAUUUUACGGGAGGCAGAAUAGGUUUAAUUUAUGGAUAUUUAUAGAAGAACUUAUUCUUUUUAAAUCUGAAUUUCACACAUGUUCAGUCUACGACUCUACAAA